rnacentral:lncRNA from 1 species
GGGCCUCCCGCCCUCUCCCUGCUGGAGCAGCUGCCGCCGGGAACUGCGGGGGCGGGCCACCAGGGUUAGCUCAGCGCCUGGCGCCUCGCCCAUAACCAUCCCUCUCUCACUUUCUCUUGCAGCCCUGUCAUCUCAGGAUCCCGCUAACCUUUUCUCCCUCCCACCACCGCCUCCUCCUCCUCCGCUUCCUGCUGGAGGUCCUGCUUCAUCUUCAUCCACCUCCUCUUCCUCCUGGAUCUCAUCUGCACCCUGCCUCUUCCCUCUCUGCCCCUGCCCAGGUUUCCUCUCCGCCUGCUCCCGUCUCCACCCUGGGGCUACCCUAGUCCCAGUCUCCCGUGCCCUCUCCCCAGGCCCCCUAGCCCUGCAUCCCCAAGCAUCCUGCCU